GGGCGGGCCGGGUAAGGUCCAGCCGUAUCCGCCUCCUUCAUGUCCCGCUGUGGGAGGGGCUCUGGAGCGCCGGGACUGUGAGAUGGCCAAUGACGGUCUGACCCGUUGGGCCGGGCCAGGUCGCGGACAACGUCGACCGUUUGUUUAAGAAGCGUGGACUCUUGUCCUGAGUGCACCGAGGCUUUCAGCCUGCGGGACAGUGGUGCGAUUUGCAUUAGAGAAAGGGAGAUGCCAUGUGCUGGCCCAGCACUCCAACAGGGGCCUGACCUCUAGGAACGGGACACUGGAGGAAGCCUAGACAUCUGAACAAAUCAAGUCAUCCAGAUCCACGGUCAGCUCCUGCCCCGACUUGGCCUUCCUCCUGCUGGGCUGGCCCACGGACCUCGGGAACCUGCCCUGGCUGUGGGUGACCUGCAGCCUAUCUCCCAGGACUAUGGAAGCCCCAUGCAGGAACAUGGUUCUGACACUUUGGGGAUUAUACCCUAAGCUUAAAGGACUGGAAAAGCCCCUGAAGUCCCGAGACCACAACCCUCCACCUUCUAAAGAUAAGACAAGUCACUGAAGGUCUCAGAACUGUGGCCCAUUCACCCCUUCCCUCAAGACAAGAGUGUGGCCAAGCAUCAAUCUCACCCCCAGAGACCAGACGGUGUCCAGGUCUUGGGCAGACGAAACCUGCUCCUUGGGGAUGGUCUUCCUGGCUGUGCUUCCAAAGGGCUGGCCUGCAAUCAGCUGGUUUUCACUUGAUCCUUUCGGGGUUUGCAUUAUAUCUGACUGAAGGAAUGAACUGGGAGAGAACAGCAGAGCCGCAGCGGAAUGUGGAAAGGCCCACGUCCAGACUGUUCCCAUUCUGAGGAAAGGUCCUGUGAGGGUACAGUGAGAAGAUGGCCAUCUACCAGCCAGGAGGAAAGGCCUAACAAGAAACCAACUCUGCUGGCACCUUGAUCGUGAACUCCCGCCCUCUAGAACUGUGAGAAAAUAAACGUCUGUUUAAGCCACCUGGUCUGUGGUAUUUUGUUAUGGAAGCCCGAGCAGACCAAUAUGCCUACUAAGUAAGUACAAGUUCUAGAUAUCCAAGUGUUUUCUUUAUGUCAUCUCCUCGACAAAUUAAAUAUUUCAAUGUCCACAUUCUCAGAAAGAAAAGGAGUCAGUGUUUUAAUGGAUCCUGUUUAAUCUUUACUUCCCUGUAUCCUUAUUUCCGUGAAUGUGACUUCACAAAUGGAGUCAUCCUAUAUCCUACUCCCAAGGCACAAUCUGCUAAAAGCAAGAAAAAGGCUUUGCGCUGCUAAUUCACCCUUUUCUGCUCAGCAUUUGGCUCUAAACUGUAACCUGAG
rnacentral:lncRNA from 10 species